rnacentral:ncRNA from 12 species
CAAGAGAUUACGGUCAGAUAGUACAAGUUUAAGGACUUAACUACAGAACAAAAUAUCUUGAGAGUUUUAAUCCUUGUCGCAAGAUCUAUCUUCGGCAAAAAACAUAAAUAGGCAAAGUCUAAUUAGUAACAAAAUGUGAGGAUUAGAUUUUGCC